UACGGGGGGGGCAAGCGUUGUUCGGAAUUACUGGGCGUAAAGGGCUCGUAGGUGGCCAACUAAGUCGGACGUGAAAUCCCUCGGCUUAACCGGGGAACUGCGUCCGAUACUGGUUGGCUUGAGUUUGGGAGAGGGAUGCGGAAUUCCAGGUGUAGCGGUGAAAUGCGCAGAUAUCAGGAGGAACACCGGUGGCGAAGGCGGAUCUCUGGGCCAACACUGACGCUCAUGCACGAAAGCGUGGGGAGCAAACAGG
rnacentral:rRNA from 1 species